rnacentral:rRNA from 1 species
GACGAACGCUGGCGGCGUGCUUAACACAUGCAAGUCGAGCGAUGAAACACCUUCGGGUGCGGAUUAGCGGCGAACGGGUGAGGAACACGUGAGGAAUCUGCCUUCCACUCUGGGAUAACUCCGGGAAACCGGGGCUAAUACCGGAUACUUUCAACUGGCGGCAUCGCCGGUUGAAGGAAGUUUUUCGGUGGAAGAUGACCUCGCGGCCUAUCAGCUUGUUGGUGAGGUAAAGGCUCACCCAGGCGACGACGGGUAGCCGGCCUGAGAGGGCGACCGGCCACACUGGGACUGAGACACGGCCCAGACUCCUACGGGAGGCAGCAGUGGGGAAUAUUGGGCAAUGGAGGAGACUCUGACCCAGCGACGCCGCGUGAGGGAUGAAGGCCUUCGGGUUGUAAACCUCUUUCAGCAGGGAAUAAGCGAAAGUGAAGGUACCUGCAGAAGAAGCACCGGCUAACUAUGUGCCAGCCGCCGCGGUAA